rnacentral:lncRNA from 1 species
AUGGCAGCAAAGAAAGGAACUUCUCGUCUCCUUUCCUUCACAUUCCAGAAGAGGGGGUCACAUUCCAGAACUGAGUCUCAUUCCUGGGGUUCUAGAGGCAGAGCAGGUGACAGAGGGGGAGGAAAUGGCACUCAACACACAAGUAGCCAGAGGAGGAAGAAGUAUCUCUGGUGUUGGAGGAGGCACGUUUUACCAUUUUCUGAUGCUUGGAAGGAGGAUAUAAAGGAGCUGCCUUGCAUCAAAAGAUGGAAAUGCGUGUUGAAGAAGGCAGAGUAG